rnacentral:rRNA from 1 species
AGAGGUAAACGGGUGGAGUUGAACUGCAUACUCCGUGAAUUCAGCCGGUGAGGAUGUUUUGGGCUCGGUCAAAUGGGUUAGACGUCGGGGUAUGCUGAGUUGCAUGUCUCAAUCAAUUUGGUUGGGAUGCACGCUACGCUCACCAUGCGUUGUGCGCCUCGGUUGUUUAUCUGCCCCCUUGCCGGUGCAUUUUCGCGGAGUGAUCACCACGACCGGCGUGGCUGUCCGGCUGCUUUGGUCGAACUGGCCUUACAUUGUCCUUCGGGCGUUGUUUGGUCGGGAUGGCAGGUAGCUCGUUUGCUUGCUUCGGCUUGCUUUCGAGUGUAAUCAGCUGAUCAGAGUGGGACUGUGCAGUGCGUCGGAGAUGGCGGCUUGUUGUGCGUAUCUGCGUGGCUCAUCUUCCAAGACUGCCUGGUUUGGUUGCUAUGUUGCCUGUCUCGGCAGGUCGAGUGAUAGCCGGGUAGCAUUUGGUUGGUGGUUGCGUGGAGGGCACUUUAACAGGGCCUAAAGUCUGUGGUGUUGUGGUAGACUAUCCACCCGACCCGUCUUGAAACACGGACCAAGGAGAGUAACAUGUGCGCGAGUCAUUGGGUGUUACGAAACCCAAAGGCGCAGUGAAAGUAAAGGAUUGGCUUGUCCAGUCUGAGGUGAGAUCCUGCCGUUACUCACGCGCGGCACCACCGAGCUUGGAGCGGCAGGCGCAUCACCGGCCCGUCCCAUGAUGUAGACAUGGUCUUGUACUGUGCACCGUCGGGGCGGAGCAUGAGCGUACAUGUUGAGACCCGAAAGAUGGUGAACUAUGCUUGCGCAGGUUGAA